UACGUAGGGUGCAAGCGUUGUCCGGAAUUAUUGGGCGUAAAGAGCUCGUAGGCGGUUCGUCGCGUCGGCUGUGAAAACCCGGAGCUCAACUCCGGGCCUGCAGUCGAUACGGGCGGACUUGAGUGUUGCAGGGGAGACUGGAAUUCCUGGUGUAGCGGUGAAAUGCGCAGAUAUCAGGAGGAACACCGAUGGCGAAGGCAGGUCUCUGGGCCACUACUGACGCUGAGAAGCGAAAGCAUGGGGAGCGAACAGG
rnacentral:rRNA from 1 species